ensembl:lncRNA
GGGAAGUGGUCACAAAGGGAAGUGGUAGGUCAGCGAAGUGGUCACAAAGGGAAGUGGUAGGUCAGGGAAGUAGUAGGUCAGGGAAGUGGUCACAAAGGGAAGUGGUAGGUCAGGGAAGUGGUAGGUCAGGGAAGUGGUCACAAAGGGAAGUGGUAGGUCAGGGAAGUAGUAGGUCAGGGAAGUGGUCACAAAGGGAAGUGGUAGGUCAGCGAAGUGGUCACAAAGGGAAGUGGUAGGUCAGGGAAGUGGUAGCUCAGCACUUAAGACGUUGGACUUCUGAUUGGAAGGUUGCGAGUUCAAAUCCCAGCGUUGCCAAGCUGCCACUGUUUGGCCCUUGAGCAAGGACCUUUACCUUCAACUGCUCCAUUGUAUAAAAAUGAGAUAGUUGCAAGUCGUUCUGGAUAACGGAGUCUGCCAAAUGCUGUAAUGUAAUGUAAAAUGUGCCUUAGUAGAUAGGAAGGUAAG